rnacentral:rRNA from 1 species
UACGAAGGGGGCUAGCGUUGCUCGGAAUUACUGGGCGUAAAGGGAGCGUAGGCGGGUUAACAAGUUGGAGGUGAAAGCUCAGGGCUCAACCUUGGAAUUGCCUUCAAAACUGAUAGCCUAGAGUAUGAUAGAGGUAUGUGGAACUCCGAGUGUAGAGGUGAAAUUCGUAGAUAUUCGGAAGAACACCAGUGGCGAAGGCGACAUACUGGGUCAUGACUGACGCUGAGGCUCGAAAGCGUGGGGAGCAAACAGG